UACAGAGGGUGCAAGCGUUGUUCGGAAUUAUUGGGCGUAAAGGGCGCGUAGGCGGUGCGGUAAGUCUGUAGUGAAAUCUCUGGGCUCAACUCAGAGUCUGCUAUAGAAACUGCCGUGCUAGAGUGUGGGAGAGGUGAGUGGAAUUCCCGGUGUAGCGGUGAAAUGCGUAGAUAUCCGGAGGAACACCAAAGGCGAAGGCAGUGUCCUGGGGAGUACCUGACGCUCAGGUGCGAAAGCCAGGGGAGCGAACGGG
rnacentral:rRNA from 1 species